UUUUUCAUCCACUUCUCGCUAUUUGUAAUUCUACUUGAAUUAGUUCUUCCUAAGUUUAGUGAGGUGAGUACUGCAUCCAUAACUAGAGGACUUGCUUUUCUGCUUGGCUCCCAGGGGAAGUUGGAUUGGAUAAGAGGAAUUGAAGCGCAAGGAAGGCAGUCGGUAUUCAAACAACUAUUCAGAGUUCCCAACUCUGGGUAAAGGAAAUCUUUACUUGACGACUGAACCAAAUCCUUUGCCUUUAUUUAUUCUAUUAUUUUUAUAUAGAUCAGCUGAAAACAAAAAUACUACUACGUUGGGACAAUGACCCACCUUUCUCUACUCAACCUGUCAUCUUCUCUCCUCGCUCCCUGGGACAAAUAAGACUAUUUAUUAAGUGAUAAACAAGAGAAACUAGUGAUAUUAUCUAAGCUUCUGGCCAUGUCUGAUUGGCAUUCAAGUCUGCCUUCCAUUGCUUGAAAAGGCCUAGCACCGUAAGUAGCAAUUGGCUAUGUCCAAACUCAAACGUCGUAUUUUAUCUAAGCACAGGAAUCGUAAUAAGGAAAGAAGACAUAAGAAUGGGAAGUAUCCGCUAGUUAUAACGUAGUAUAAAGAGAGCUAUUUCAUGGAUCUUGGUCACAAUAAAAAGAAUCCAAUAAUGAUCUAUCAACUAAAUGAGUUGAUUAUAUAGGCGAAAGUGCACGGAGGAUCUGUGAUUCCUCCUACCUUAUGAGCCCUUAUGAAAUGCCAUUUUGAAUGAUGGACAAAUCAUGGGUGUCGGCGGUCUAGUCAGAGCAUUUUGGAGCGCCUGAGCGGGCAAAGUAGGUUGACCCGUCCCGAGGGGGAGGGAACAAACGGGCAAUUGAACACCAUAGGGCACAAACGAAUCGCCAGUAACGACCUGUAUAUAUCAGGCAAGAGGUGCUACUCCGACCCGGAAUCCUGCGUGAUGGUUGGUCACCUUACCAAUAAUCUUCUUAAUGUUGGAGAAAAUGAGGAUCAUUGACUUAAAUUGGAAUUGAUACCUAGAAAACUUGGUUCUAGCUUGCCACCCCAGAAGGCAACGUAUACACAAGUAUAGACUAUAGGUAACACUGUAGGGUACAGCCUUGGGUAGUCUUAGGGUUUUCCAAGAUAUGAUAUGAUCGGGUUAUUUAUUAGAAUUGGAAAUAGCUAGACGAAUAAGUAGGCUUUAAAAGUACGAAUAAAGUAGGCCUUCUAACUCAAAGUACUCCAGCUUAAGGAAAGACAUGCAACAUUGGUGAUCAACAUAUUGAAUUUCCGCUAUUCCGUUCCGGGAAAACACUUGUUUUUUCACGUUUUUCCUUCGCUGUUCUUUCCUGGAUUUUUUGUUGAUGAUUCUUCCCCUUAAAAAAAGCUUUUCCCUAAAAAAAAUAUGUGGCCCUUUUCUUUCCCGAAAAGGCAUUCAUUGUUCGUUCUGUGCCAGGAACCAGAUUUGAAUUGGUGACACGAGGAUUUUCAAUCCUCUGCUCUACCAACUGAGCUAUCCUGACUAUUUAUUGUGCAUCAUCCUAGUAGAGUACUUGUAUCUAUGUCAAUUAAAGGGACUCAAAAAGAAAAAAGUAUUCUCAAAUUGGACUUAGUAAAUAUCAGGAUAAUGAUAUGGAUUGUGAAUGACUUACUUAAUAAUAGGGAUUACUUGCCUAUACUAUAAUAUGUUCAUUUGUAUGAAUGGGAUAAGAUCCAAAGAAGUCAGUUCGGAUCCGUUUGUGAAAGAGUAGAAUAAGAAAGAUAGUGAAUCUUGUUUGAACCAUUAAUGAAAAAUAGAGGUUGGUACAAUAGUUAGGAAGUAAAAUGGGCUUUUUAUUGGGGAUAGAGGGACUUGACCCUCACGAUUUAGAAAGUCGACGGAUUUUCCUCUUACUAGAAAUUUCAUUGUGGUCGGUAACAUUGGUGAAUUAACAGAAACGGAAAGAGAGGGAUUCGAACCCUCGGUAAACAAAAGCCUACAUAGCAGUUCCAAUGCUACGCCUUGAACCACUCGGCCAUCUCUCCUACAUAAUCUUAUUAUUGACCAGAAACUGAGUGAAUAGCGAGUUUUCGUAUCACUAAAGUACAGGUACAACCGAUCACAGGUUCCAUAGGGAGUUUGACUUCCUUUCCAAUUUCAUAUUUCUCAACAACAACUUCUCUCAUCCCCACGGAUCUAUUCAAAAUUCUGGAAUCGUCCCAUGUUUCUAUUUCGAUUGUAUGGCGUGGCGUAUACACGUUAUGCAAACAGAACGUAUGGUUACUUUACUCUAUUUUCUCAUGGCUUGUUAAACCUUUCUUUUUUCUUUUUGGAUCAUAACCAAAUAAAAACUUCUCGAGUUAUCAGAAUCCAUAGUCAAAUUCAGUCCUUGGUUAUUCAAGUUAGAUGAAAUAGUAAUAGUUUGGCUCACAUUGGUAUACUACGAAAUCCAAUCUGAUCCAAAUAUUGAAUAUCUCUCCUUGUCGGGACAAUUUAAGCAGAAUAAAAUAUCUAUUAUCGAUUUUUUAGAAUCAAAUUAGUCUGUUUUUUUGCUAUUUCGUACUGUAUAAUUCCUUUGUUUAUGGGAUCAUUUUCCCCGAGGGUUUCCAAUCAAUGGGGGCGUAGUAUAGGUAGUUAGAGAGUGUAGGCUCCCCUAGCUUGAAUUCUUUUUACCCAUUCUUUGAGAGUGAUAGGUUUGAUUUUUCCGUACCGUAAUAGAAGAGCUCAGAAGAAAGACCUAAUUAUAUAAAAACACGACCAUUCAAGCUAAAGAUCAGAGGAUCCGUAAUAGGACUCUCAUAGACUUGCCGGGAAAUAGAAAAUUUGGAAUCGGCUUUUCUUUUGCGCUAAAAAAACUAGAGGCCUUUUCCCUUAUUAUAUGGCAUAUCCAUACUUUAAUAACCUAGUGCCUGAUCGAUUGAAAGCAAUAUUUACUGUCAGAUAGAGAGAUGCUGAUAGGAAAAAGGAUGGUAUUUACUUAUUCUCAAGAAUAUAUAGAAAGGGAAAAGCUUAAUAGCCACUAUUGAUCCCCUGAAUAGAGCACAUGAUUCGGGAUCAGGUGCGAUGUGAAGAGGUAGCCUAGCCUUUUAUGAGAGUCAAUUGGGAAGUGGAAAGGCAAAACCAUUAGUUUAAGUUCCCGGCUUUAGUCCUCUGUGAAGUUCAGUCAGCCAUUUGAGUCAAUUUUGAGUAAAUAGUAAGACUUCGGAUCGCACCAUUCAUAAUGUUGCAUCUCAAUACUUGGCAUCUUUUUCCCACUGCUGGCUCAGAAAUUCGCCUUGGUUUCACUGGAAUUCGUUUAUUUCGUUCAUUAAUUCGUUCUGAUAGCUACGCAGAGGUCUUUCCUUACGACUCCCGUGCUUAAUACAAAAAGCGGUUCUUGUGUGAAAAGUGCCAACUGACUAUCUCCUUAUUUUCUGAUUGUUCUUCCGAUAGGAAUAUUCCCUUGAUCAGCUAACCUGGCCCAAGCAUAACAAUAGUGCAUUUCCCCUUGAUGGUACGAUUUACAUAUCUUCUACCUCUGCUACUUCUGUUCAGGAAGUUUAGUUUAGGCACUCCAUCCCUGAGGGCUGCAUCAGCUUAUCUUUCUAGAAAUCCCAGCUAUAAGCUAGAUCGGUAUAAAUAGGGCAUUAAGCAGCAAUAACAGAGAUAGCAUCCAUGAGUUUUUUAAUCCAUCCUUUAGCAUCGCUGACUCGGACAAGGUGUUUCCUUCCUUCGCAAUACCCGGCCAGGGCAAUGUAGCUAUCCCAAUAAGAUAUGAAAGCUGGACCACACCUGAGCAAGGAACUUAUACAUAGAAGUAACAGUAAAUGUGCAAGAUUUGGACCACUGCCAUUUCCUUAAACCAUCAAUCAACAAAUUGAAAUAGAGAUAUCGGUAUCUUCCAAUCUGCCACAAGGAUCUAGUCGCCAGUAUCUUUGCCUUCUUCCCAACUUAUCCCAGCAUUCCUUGUAUUGCUAUCACUACGAAAAAGCAAGCCUACUUACUACGUGUUUUCCUCUAUUGGCAAAUACGCAUAUACUGACCUACUCACAUGCAUAUCUUGCAUAAAGCCUUCCCCUAAAAAAACAAACUCGCCCGUAUCUUCCUAGUCCUUGUUGCCAGCCCUACUCGACUUUACUCGACUAUUUAGAAAAAGCUACUACUUGAAUGCAUACUUUUACUAUUAUUUAAAGAAAAAACAAAAACUAUUUCUGAGUUUAUGCCCCACCAACAGAGCAAAAGAACGCUCAAAUGAGGAACUAGAAUAUGAAAGUGCAAAAUAUCCUACCGAACAAAGAAAGCACUAUAUCUCAUUUUUAAAAUCUGGUAAAAAUUCUUCAACCUAACUCAACACAACUAUAUUUCGACUAUAUAUGUAUGUUUGUAACGUGCCACAAAACCAUCUUAAGAUUAGACAGUUAUCAAUCAGCAAACGCAUUGACCACAUGCAAAAAAGAAAGACGGAUCUCCUUCCUUUUAUUCGGUGCUUUCCUUUUAUAAGUCACUGCUAUUCUUCCUUGACCCUUCUUACCUUUGCUAGAUUUUGCAUUCCCCUCAUUACUAUUCGGCUCAGUAUUAUCUUCACCUUUGGAAUUGCUUCCACUAGAAGUAGACGACAAGUACCAUAGAUGUCAGAAUUUCGUAUAUAGCAAAUUCAGGUAGUAAGUAAUGGAACUGUAGCAUGCAAAGGGACUGUACCAUGGAAAUUGAGAAGAAAUCUCCAUCAAGUUUUUCCAUUUUAUGCCAUAUGAAUAAGAGAUUCCUUUUAGUUAGAAAGCUCGC
rnacentral:lncRNA from 1 species